rfam:Stegodyphus mimosarum contig121009, whole genome shotgun sequence.
ACCUUCGGAGCGUAAUGGUCAGCCCGCUCGACGCGUAACCGAGAGGUCCGUGGUUCGAUUCCCGGCGAAGGCG